rnacentral:rRNA from 1 species
AGUGAACGCUGGCGGUAGGCCUAACACAUGCAAGUCGAACGGCAGCACAGUAAGAGCUUGCUCUUACGGGUGGCGAGUGGCGGACGGGUGAGGAAUACAUCGGAAUCUACUUUUUCGUGGGGGAUAACGUAGGGAAACUUACGCUAAUACCGCAUACGACCUACGGGUGAAAGCAGGGAUCUUCGGACCUUGCGCGAUUGAAUGAGCCGAUGUCGGAUUAGCUAGUUGGCGGGGUAAAGGCCCACCAAGGCGACGAUCCGUAGCUGGUCUGAGAGGAUGAUCAGCCACACUGGAACUGAGACACGGUCCAGAAUCCUACGGGAGGCAGCAGUGGGGAAUAUUGGACAAUGGGCGCAAGCCUGAUCCAGCCAUACCGCGUGAGUGAAGAAGGCCUUCGGGUUGUAAAGCCCUUUUGUUGGGAAAGAAAAGCAGCAGGUUAAUACCCCGCUGUUCUGACGGUACCCAAAGAAUAAGCACCGGCUAACUUCGUG